UUGGAGGGCAAGUCUGGUGCCAGCAGCCGCGGUAAUUCCAGCUCCAAUAGCGUAUAUUAAAGUUGUUGCAGUUAAAGAGCUCGUAGUUGAAUUUCGGGAUCAAUUUAUUGGUCGUGCCAACGGUACGCACUGGUACAAUUGGUUUCUCCCUUCUGACGAAGCAUGAUGUCAUUAAUUUGAUGUCGUGGGGAAUCAGGACUGUUACUUUGAAAAAAUUAGAGUGUUUAAAGCAGGCUUUGGCUUGAAUACAUUAGCAUGGAAUAAUGAAAUAGGACGUUUGAUCUUAUUUCGUUGGUUUCUAAGAUCGACGUAAUGAUUAAUAGGGAUAGUUGGGGGCAUUAGUAUUCAAUUGUCAGAGGUGAAAUUCUUGGAUUUAUUGAAGACUAACUACUGCGAAAGCAUUUGCCAAGGAUGUUUUCAUUAAUCAAGAACGAAAGUUAGGGGAUCGAAGACGAUCAGAUACCGUCGUAGUCUUAACCAUAAACUAUGCCGACUAGGGAUCGGAUGAUGUUAAUUUUUUAAUGACUCAUUCGGCGCCUUACGGGAAAC
rnacentral:rRNA from 1 species